rnacentral:rRNA from 1 species
CGCGGCCUAUCAGCUUGUUGGUGAGGUAAUGGCUUACCAAGGCGACGACGGGUAGCCGGCCUGAGAGGGUGACCGGCCACACUGGGACUGAGACACGGCCCAGACUCCUACGGGAGGCAGCAGUGGGGAAUAUUGCACAAUGGGCGGAAGCCUGAUGCAGCGACGCCGCGUGAGGGAUGACGGCCUUCGGGUUGUAAACCUCUUUCAGUAGGGAAGAAGCGAAAGUGACGGUACCUGCAGAAGAAGCGCCGGCUAACUACGUGCCAGCAGCCGCGGUAAUACGUAGGGCGCAAGCGUUAUCCGGAAUUAUUGGGCGUAAAGAGCUCGUAGGCGGUUUGUCGCGUCUGCCGUGAAAGUCCGGGGCUCAACUCCGGAUCUGCGGUGGGUACGGGCAGACUAGAGUGAUGUAGGGGAGACUGGAAUUCCUGGUGUAGCGGUGAAAUGCGCAGAUAUCAGGAGGAACACCGAUGGCGAAGGCAGGUCUCUGGGCAUUAACUGACGCUGAGGAGCGAAAGCAUGGGGAGCGAACAGGAUUAGAUACCCUGGUAGUCCAUGCCGUAAACGUUGGGCACUAGGUGUGGGGGACAUUCCACGUUUUCCGCGCCGUAGCUAACGCAUUAAGUGCCCCGCCUGGGGAGUACGG